UACGGGGGGGGCAAGCGUUGUUCGGAAUUACUGGGCGUAAAGGGUUUGUAGGUGGCCAACUAAGUCAGACGUGAAAUCCCUCGGCUUAACCGGGGAACUGCGUCUGAUACUGGAUGGCUCGAGUGUGGGAGAGGGAUGCGGAAUUCCAGGUGUAGCGGUGAAAUGCGUAGAUAUCUGGAGGAACACCGGUGGCGAAGGCGGCAUCCUGGACCAUAACUGACACUGAUAAGCGAAAGCCAGGGGAGCAAACGGG
rnacentral:rRNA from 1 species